rnacentral:rRNA from 1 species
UACGGAGGGUGCAAGCGUUGUCCGGAAUCACUGGCGUAAAGGGCGCGUAGGCGGCUCAUGAAGGCUGAUGGUGAAAGUCCGGGCUCAACCUCGGAAUCGGCCGUGGCGACUCGUGGGCUGGAGCACUGUAGAGGCGGGUGGAAUUCCGGGUGUAGCGGAUGGAAUGCGUAGAGAUCCGGAAGAACACCAGUGGCGAAGGCGGCCCGCUGGGCAGUGGCUG